UCUGGCGGUCAUACCGGAGGGGUUACACCCGAUCCCAUCCCGAACUCGGAAGUUAAGGCCUCCUGGGCUGAUGGUACUGCAGGGGACACUCUGUGGGAGAGUAAGUCGCCGCCAGAG
rnacentral:rRNA from 1 species